CACCGUGGCACUGCAGCAGCGACGUUGAUAGAAUGGAAGGCUUUAGACUAUCUGCAGCGCGGCCCUUCCCCUUCCCUCCACUUGCACUGUUCAUAGUUUAGCGGCUACAGUAGCCCCUAGCGCACGCAGCGGCAAGCCCUACGGGCAACUCUCCGACGCGCUCCCCUUCUCUCUCACGCCAGAUGAAGGGGAGGACUGUGCACUCCGCUACGCGCUCUUCUCGCGGAAGCCGGCGCCCGCGCGAGACGGCGGAAAGUUCCAGGUCCACUUCGCUUCCUCUGGACGGCUCUCGGGAACGCGGGCGAGAAGGGGCGACGCGGCGGCGGAUCUGGCGGCGCAAGGCCGAUUCGGAGCCGGAGGAGGUCGGCGCCGACGACGACCACGUCCUGUUGCUGACGAGUGAAGUCCGUUCGCCUCGGAAGCGGAAGCGGCCACAAAUCCCAGUCCGUUUUGGCGGUACGUCUCCCCAUCGGUGGAUUUCCUCUCCGACCAUCGACGGCUCGCUUAGAUCCAGAGUUCAUCGGUUCGAAUCUUGUUGUUGCGGGCCGGAUCUUCAGCUCUGCAGCACAUUUGAUCAUGGCAUCCUCGACAGAAGAUAACAUGAAGGCUUUGCUGAAAGUCCUUGUAGACUGUGCCGAGGAUGCCACAAAAACACUGGGUGGUUUAGUAGAUCAUGCUUUAGACCACAUGCAUGAUGAAGAGAUCGUAGCUAGAACCUUGUAUGCCAUCAAAGAUAAGCUAGAAUUGCUGCAACAAGAUGCCUUAGAGGCAAAAGUGCAAGCAUUUCCAGAAAUUGUUAAGUACGAUGGCGAUGACAUAAGUGUUGAGCCUACAUCUCCGUCGACCCCUCCAACAGUUACUGAACCAUCUAUUGAUGAAGAGGAGUUCUACUGCCCCGAUGUGUCUGAUGAGUGGUACUUCAGCGACUCAGAUAGGUCGACUCGUACCAGCUACUGGAAUAUAUAUUAGGCAUGUAUUCCAGUUCGAGGUAGAUGUCAUCCUUUUCAACGUCUAAGUAGUCGUGCAAGGGCGCCAACUGUUAGGUUAUGUGCUUGUAAACGACAAUAUCUGUUCUCAUCUAUGUCCAAGUCUAAGUCCAACGUACUGAUAAUAAGCUACAAUGAUGUCAGCUUAUUAUGUCUAUUUUGUUUAGUCUGUUGUGUUAAUGUGCUGCUGUUGCUACUCAGACAGUUCAUGGCGACCUUUAUAUAAUAUUGUGCUCCUUUAAA